rnacentral:rRNA from 1 species
AUUGAACGCUGGCGGCAUGCUUUACAUAUGCAAGUCGAACGGUAACAGGCCGCAAGGUGCUGACGAGUGGCGAACGGGUGAGUAAUGCAUCGGAACGUGCCCAGUCGUGGGGGAUAACGCAGCGAAAGCUGCGCUAAUACCGCAUACGAUCUAUGGAUGAAAGCGGGGGACCGUAAGGCCUCGCGCGAUUGGAGCGGCCGAUGUCAGAUUAGGUAGUUGGUGGGGUAAAGGCUCACCAAGCCGACGAUCUGUAGCUGGUCUGAGAGGACGACCAGCCACACUGGGACUGAGACACGGCCCAGACUCCUACGGGAGGCAGCAGUGGGGAAUUUUGGACAAUGGGCGCAAGCCUGAUCCAGCAAUGCCGCGUGCAGGAAGAAGGCCUUCGGGUUGUAAACUGCUUUUGUACGGAACGAAAAGGCUCUGGUUAAUACCUGGGGCUCAUGACGGUACCGUAAGAAUAAGCACCGGCUAACUACGUGCCAGCCGCCGCGGUAA